UUCGGUCUCCCUCAAAUUCUCUCUCUCUCUCUCUCUCCGUGUAUUUCCCUCACGCCAGCAUCCCCAUCCCACCGUAAACCCUCAUUUCUUUCUCCACCUCACGCCCACGCAUCCGAGUCUCCAUCCUCCUCAGUCAACUCCAGCAUCUUGAAGACCAUCGACUUCUCCAUCGAGUUUUGUCGGCCACAGAAUCCAUUCACCACUGCAGCAACCGAUCAGCACUUCGGCCUCAAGAAGUUGACUCCGUUCCUCUCACCCGUGGCCACGUCUCGCCUCAAAUCGAAGACCAACCCUGCUCCACUGCUGAGUCUUCAUUUCCUUCGGUCUUCACGUCUGCCGCUUCAUUGGUUCCUUCGCUGUUGGUGUCUCCAUCUUACUGCGUGAGACCGACCGAAGCAGCACACGCCCGCGCAGCAACUCCACGCGGCCAACGUUCAGCUGUUCCUCGAGUCUUCCGUGUGUGCAGCCAACCGAAGCUUUUUCCGCUCGCCGAAGCAAGAUGCCAGCGAGCCGUUUCUCCAUCCAGCUCGGCCCAGAAACAGUCCACGAAAAUUUCAGCUCCUUCUUGGGUUCUUGUUCGGCCUAGCUCCUCCAACACAAGCCCAUCAGCCCACACGAAUCAAGCUCUAGUCCAUUUUCUGCCGCAGCCCAUCCACGAAGACAGCCCAAGUGAAAUUUAGAUUAUUUCAGCCCAAGAAAAAUUGCAGCAGCCCAAGUCUUUGGCCCAUCAACUCCAGCAGCCCACUUGAAGCCCAAGAAGCAGGCCCAAGCCCAAGUCUAAGCCCAGAAAUUUCUGUGGGCUUGCAAGAUUUUGGGCCCAGUCCGAGUAUCCACCGACGCUGCUGAAAAGUUGGAUUUUGGCCGCCGUCGCGGUGAUCUAGUCUCCACUUUUAAUCAAGUGAGUUUUCUCACUAAUCCCUUAUUAGUCAGUUAAUUAUGCUUAUGUGUUGAUUAGAUUUAAUUAAGUGCAAUUAGGUGGAUAGAUUAGAUUAGAGUAAUCAAAUUAGAGACUUAUCAAUGCAUGUUAGGCAUAUGGUUAGUGUAACUAGCAAGGAAAUAGGUCCUAGUAUUUAUUGAACGAGUUUCGGUAAUUUUCUGGGCUCAUAUCGGCUUCCAAUCAGGCAUUAUGGGCCUAAGUUAGAUUUAUUGCAUUUAUUUAUUAUUUUCCGUAAUUAUUUUCCAGAAAUUAGGCUGGAAUAGCUGAUGACUAGAAUUUCGUGCUGAUUACGGUAGUGCUCUCUAUUUAUUUAAUUGAGUAUUGGUUUGUGAAAAUUGAAUGUGAUUGGUGGUUAUGGGGAUUUAUCUCAAAAUUGGAAAAUGUUGUUAUUUGAAGGGAAAAUAACCGUGUGAGGUUGUGAGUUUAAUAGAUAAUUGUCAAGUGGGGCCGUGAUGCCACCAAGUCGAGAAAAUUGCCAGGUGAGGCCGU
rnacentral:lncRNA from 1 species